CCUACGGGAGGCAGCAGUCGAGAAUCAUUCACAAUGGGGGAAACCCUGAUGGUGCGACGCCGCGUGGGGGAAUGAAGGUCUUCGGAUUGUAAACCCCUGUCAUGUGGGAGCAAAUUAAAAAGAUAGUACCCCAAGAGGAAGAGACGGCUAACUCUGUGCCAGCAGCCGCGGUAAUACAGAGGUCUCAAGCGUUGUUCGGAAUCACUGGGCGUAAAGCGUGCGUAGGCUGUUUCGUAAGUCGUGUGUGAAAGGCGCGGGCUCAACCCGCGGACGGCACAUGAUACUGCGAGACUAGAGUAAUGGAGGGGGAACCGGAAUUCUCGGUGUAGCAGUGAAAUGCGUAGAUAUCGAGAGGAACACUCGUGGCGAAGGCGGGUUCCUGGACAGUAACUGACGCUGAGGCACGAAGGCCAGGGGAGCGAAAGGGAUUAGAUACCCCGGUAGUC
rnacentral:rRNA from 1 species